CUGUGCACUCACUAUAUGUCGCAGUUAGAGCAGGUUGGGCCAAUGCUUAGCGGGGGUCUGGAAAAUAGAGGUGAAAGCAACGAUUCUGAGGCGGAUGCUUUCGAAAGGUGAUUCAACAAGGGAAAUAUAGAAACGGGGAACUGCAGAUGCUGGUUUACAAAA